rnacentral:rRNA from 1 species
UGAACUGCAGGACACAUGAACACCGACACGUUGAACGCAUAUGGCGCAUCGGACGUUUAGACCCGACCGAUGUACACAUUCUUGAGU